rnacentral:miRNA from 15 species
UCAGUUGUACUUGGUACCACAUUUU